UACGAAGGGUGCUAGCGUUGUUCGGAAUUACUGGGUGUAAAGGGCGCGUAGGCGGUCUUAUUAGUCAGGUGUGAAAGCCCCGAGCUUAACUUGGGAACUGCACUUGAAACGGUAAGACUAGAGGACAGGAGAGGUUAGUGGAAUUUCCAGUGUAGAGGUAAAAUUCGUAGAGAUUGGAAGGAACACCAGAGGCGAAGGCGACUAACUGGACUGUAUCUGACGCUAAGGCGCGAAAGCGUGGGGAGCAAACAGG
rnacentral:rRNA from 1 species